GAUGAACGCUGGCGGCGUGCCUAAUACAUGCAAGUCGAGCGAACAGAUGAGGAGCUUGCUCCUCUGACGUUAGCGGCGGACGGGUGAGUAACACGUGGAUAACCUACCUAUAAGACUGGGAUAACUUCGGGAAACCGGAGCUAAUACCGGAUAAUAUAUUGAACCGCAUGGUUCAAUAGUGAAAGACGGUUUUGCUGUCACUUAUUGAUGGAUCCGCGCCGCAUUAGCUAGUUGGUAAGGUAACGGCUUACCAAGGCAACGAUGCGUAGCCGACCUGAGAGGGUGAUCGGCCACACUGGAACUGAGACACGGUCCAGACUCCUACGGGAGGCAGCAGUAGGGAAUCUUCCGCAAUGGGCGAAAGCCUGACGGAGCAACGCCGCGUGAGUGAUGAAGGUCUUCGGAUCGUAAAACUCUGUUAUUAGGGAAGAACAAAUGCGUAAGUAACUAUGCACGUCUUGACGGUACCUAAUCAGAAAGCCACGGCUAACUACGUG
rnacentral:rRNA from 1 species